rnacentral:snoRNA from 1 species
CCUGCAGCACCCUGAUUCCUGUUCUAGGGUCUGGGUGCUGUGCAGCCUCCAGAGACCCUUUAGUCUCCCAGUGUCCUACUGGGGGCUGCUGUGGUGUGUGGCUGGCUGCGUGCAGGAGUGAAGUGGUGCUGGCAGGGUCGGAGCCCCUCUUUUGGAGCUCCGUCCUCACUGAGAUGAGGGAUGAUGUCUGAUCAC